AAGUAUAUGAACUGAAAUACUUUAUCCACCAUUUGUUUUUUCAGUGUGAGAAAGAGUAUCAUGUUGGCUGCUUGAAGAAAAGCAAGACAACAGAUUUAAAGGAAUUGCCUAAAGGGAAGUUCUGUAGUAUGAAUUGCAAGAGGAUCUAUUCUGCACCGCAAAAUUUGCUAAACUCAGGAGAAGAAAGGUUGCCUGAUUCUUGUUUGGAUGCAACAUGCAUGAAGGAAAAGGAAAAGAGUUUUGUUGCUGGUGGUGAAUUUGAUGUUAGAUGGAGACUUCUGAGAGGCAGAGUUUCCUUCUCGUGAAACCCCGAAGGCUAUUGGUAGAAGUUGUUUCUAUCUUCCAUGUAUGCACUAAUCCCUAAUCAUUUAUUUCAAUGCUCGUCUCUUUUGUAUAUUAGAGAAGGGAAUAGCUAGCAGUUAUUAGGUUUUUGUGCAGGUGAUUCUGAAGCUGCAGCUUCUUGUCUCUUUUGUAUAUUAGAGAAGCGAAUAGCUAGGUAUUUUAUUCUAUAUAGGACCUUGUUUGGAGUUUGAAGAAUAUUAUUGAAGAGGCUGCUCUCUAUAUUUUCUAGUUGGUAGCUUUAUUUACCUAUUAAGGGCA